rnacentral:rRNA from 1 species
AUACGGAGGGUGCAAGCGUUAUCCGGAAUCAUUGGGUUUAAAGGGUCCGUAGGCGGGCAAUUAAGUCAGAGGUGAAAUCCCACAGCUCAACUGUGGAACUGCCUUUGAUACUGGUUGUCUUGAGUUAUAGUGAAGUAGAUAGAAUGUGUAGUGUAGCGGUGAAAUGCGUAGAUAUUACACAGAAUACCGAUUGCGAAGGCAGUCUACUAACUGUUGACUGACGCUAAUGGACGAAAGCGUGGGGAGCGAACAGGAUUAGAAACCCUAGUAGUCC